rnacentral:rRNA from 1 species
CCUACGGGUGGCAGCAGUGGGGAAUAUUGCACAAUGGGGGAAACCCUGAUGCAGCGACGCCGCGUGAGCGAUGAAGUAUUUCGGUAUGUAAAGCUCUAUCAGCAGGGAAGAAAAUGACGGACCUUGACUAAGAAGCCCCGGCUAAAUACGUGCCAGCAGCCGCGGUAAUACGUAGGGGGCAAGCGUUAUCCGGAUUUACUGGGUGUAAAGGGAGCGUAGACGGUCCUGCAAGCCAGAUGGGAAAGCCCGGGGCACAACCCCGGGACUGCAUUUGGAACUGUAAGGCUAGAGUGUCGGAGAGGCAGGCGGAAUGCGUAGUGUAGCGGUGAAAUGCGUAGAUAUUAGGAGGAACACCAGUGGCGAAGGCGGCCUGCUGGACGAUGACUGACGUUGAGGCUCGAAAGCGUGGGGAGCGAACAGGAUUAGAUACCCUAGUAGUC